rnacentral:rRNA from 1 species
AGCAGUAGCCGCGGGAAUACGUAGGUGGCAAGCGUUGUCCGGAAUUAUUGGGCGUAGAGCGCGCGCAGGCGGAUAGGUCAGUCUGUCUUAAAAGUUCGGGGCUUAACCCCGUGAUGGGAUGGAAACUGCCAAUCUAGAGUAUCGGAGAGGAAAGUGGAAUUCCUAGUGUAGCGGUGAAAUGCGUAGAUAUUAGGAAGAACACCAGUGGCGAAGGCGACUUUCUGGACGAGAACUGACGCUGAGGCGCGAAAGCCAGGGGAGCGAACGGGAUUAGAGACCCCCGUAGUCCCUGUCUCUUAUACA